rnacentral:rRNA from 1 species
UACGAAGGGGGCUAGCGUUGCUCGGAAUCACUGGGCGUAAAGGGUGCGUAGGCGGGUCUUUAAGUCAGGGGUGUAAUCCUGGAGCUCAACUCCAGAACUGCCUUUGAUACUGAAGAUCUUGAGUUCGGGAGAGGUGAGUGGAACUGCGAGUGUAGAGGUGAAAUUCGUAGAUAUUCGCAAGAACACCAGUGGCGAAGGCGGCUCACUGGCCCGGUACUGACGCUGAGGUGCGAAAGCGUGGGGAGCAAACAGG